rnacentral:rRNA from 1 species
ACUCCUACGGGAGGCAGCAGUGGGGAAUAUUGCACAAUGGGGCACGCAGCAUGACUGCAGCCAUGCCGCGUGUGUGAAGAAGGCCAAUUCGGGUUGUAAAGACACUUUCAGUCGUGAGGAAGGUAGUGUAGUUAAUAGCUGCAUUAUUUGACGUUAGCGACAGAAGAAGCACCGGCUAACUCCGUGCCAGCAGCCGCGGUAAUACGGAGGGUGCGAGCGUUAAUCGGAAUUACUGGGCGUAAAGCGCAUGCAGGUGGUUUGUUAAGUCAGAUGUGAAAGCCC